rnacentral:rRNA from 1 species
AGUGAACGCUGGCGGUAGGCCUAACACAUGCAAGUCGAACGGCAGCACAGUAAGAGCUUGCUCUUACGGGUGGCGAGUGGCGGACGGGUGAGGAAUACAUCGGAGUCUACUUUUUCGUGGGGGAUAACGUAGGGAAACUUACGCUAAUACCGCAUACGACCUACGGGUGAAAGCAGGGGAUCUUCGGACCUUGCGCGAUUGAAUGAGCCGAUGUCGGAUUAGCUAGUUGGCGGGGUAAAGGCCCACCAAGGCGACGAUCCGUAGCUGGUCUGAGAGGAUGAUCAGCCACACUGGAACUGAGACACGGUCCAGACUCCUACGGGAGGCAGCAGUGGGGAAUAUUGGACAAUGGGCGCAAGCCUGAUCCAGCCAUACCGCGUGUGUGAAGAAGGCCUUCGGGUUGUAAAGCCCUUUUGUUGGGAAAGAAAAGCAGCAGGUUAAUACCCCGCUGUUCUGACGGUACCCACAGAAUAAGCACCGGCUAACUUCGUG